rnacentral:tRNA from 15 species
GGGGCAUUAGUUCAGUGGCAGAACAACGGACUCUUAAUCCGUGUGUCAGUGGUUCGAAUCCACUAUGCCCCAC